rnacentral:rRNA from 1 species
GAUGAACGCUGGCGGCGUGCCUAAUACAUGCAAGUCGAGCGAACAGACGAGGAGCUUGCUCCUCUGACGUUAGCGGCGGACGGGUGAGUAACACGUGGAUAACCUACCUAUAAGACUGGGAUAACUUCGGGAAACCGGAGCUAAUACCGGAUAAUAUAUUGAACCGCAUGGUUCAAUAGUGAAAGACGGUUUUGCUGUCACUUAUAGAUGGAUCCGCGCCCCAUUAGCUAGUUGGUAAGGUAACGGCUUACCAAGGCAACGAUGCGUAGCCGACCUGAGAGGGUGAUCGGCCACACUGGAACUGAGACACGGUCCACACUCCUACGGGAGGCAGCAGUAGGGAAUCUUCCGCAAUGGGCGAAAGCCUGACGGAGCAACGCCGCGUGAGUGAUGAAGGUCUUCGGAUCGUAAAACUCUGUUAUUAGGGAAGAACAAAUGUGUAAGUAACUAUGCACGUCUUGACGGUACCUAAUCAGAAAGCCACGGCUAACUACGUG